UACGUAGGGGGCAAGCGUUGUCCGGAUUUAUUGGGCGUAAAGAGCGUGUAGGCGGUUUGGUAGGUCCGCUGUGAAAACUCGAGGCUCAACCUCGAGACGCCGGUGGAAACCAUCAGACUAGAGUCCGGAAGAGGAGAGUGGAAUUCCUGGUGUAGCGGUGAAAUGCGCAGAUAUCAGGAAGAACACCCGUGGCGAAGGCGGCUCACUGGACCGGUACUGACGCUGAUGCGCGAAAGCGUGGGGAGCAAACGGG
rnacentral:rRNA from 1 species